GAUGAACGCUGGCGGCGUGCCUAAUACAUGCAAGUCGAGCGAACAGACGAGGAGCUUGCUCCUCUGACGUUAGCGGCGGACGGGUGAGUAACACGUGGAUAACCUACCUAUAAGACUGGGAUAACUUCGGGAAACCGGAGCUAAUACCGGAUAAUAUAUUGAACCGCAUGGUUCAAUAGUGAAAGACGGUUUUGCUGUCACUCAUAGAUGGAUCCGCGUCGCAUUAGCUAGUUGGUAAGGUAACGGCUUACCAAGGCGCCGAUGCGUAGCCGACCUGAGAGGGUGAUCGGCCACACUGGAACUGAGACACGGUCCAGCCUCCUACGGGAGGCAGCAGUAGGGAAUCUUCCGCAGAGGGCGAAAGCCUGACGGAGCACCGCCGCGUGAGUGAUGAAGGUCUUCGGAUCGUAAAACUCUGUUAUUAGGGAAGAACAAAUGUGUAAGUAACUAUGCACGUCUUGACGGUACCUAAUCAGAAAGCCACGGCUAACUACGUG
rnacentral:rRNA from 1 species